rnacentral:rRNA from 1 species
AUGGCAUCAAAAGGAUCCUGUCCAAAUGCAGAUAGCUACAAUUCAGACUUUUCUGAGGCUGCAUCCAGGUUUACUGUCAAUCUGGAUGAGAGUCUGCUUGCACCAGAAAGGAAAAAGAAACGUGGCCGGCCAACAACAAGCAGGGACAAGGCUCCAUAUGAGAAGGGAAGCAACAAAAGAUCAAGGUUUUGUUCGAUCUGUAGGGGCAAAGGCCACAAGUCAAGCACCUGCCCCGACCGUGGUGACGCCCCUAGAAAAGAAAGGAAAGUGGGCACAUGCAGCAAGUGUGGAGUGCCUGGGCAUAGGAAAACAACAUGCAGCAAGCCGCUCUUGUCCUCGAUGGCCGGUGUUCCUCCAUCUCAUUAG